GGCGCAAGCCGGCUCGCUUUAAAUGGAUGAGUCGUCUGGCGUGUGUCCUUACAAGCGUGAUAGUUAUUUCGUUUGGCUUGGCGCGUUUAGAUGGCUUUCUAACUCGGACGAUUGGGGAGCGGUGCAUUCACGUGCCGACCCUCAAGCGGCCAUUUUUACCCACAGACCUCAAAUCAGGUAGGACUACCCGCUGAACUUAA
rnacentral:misc_RNA from 1 species